rnacentral:lncRNA from 1 species
GGUUUGGGCGUUUUCAGGCGGCCUCCUGAGAAAUGUUUGCAAUUGUAAGGCGUCUCUCUCAUCCAGGUUUACCCAGAUUCGCAAACUAUGGCGACAAACAACCAUAGCAGAAGCAUGUCCGGAUUAUUUCACAUAUAUCACAAAAUCCUGCAAAGCAGGUAACGAGGAGACCAAAGGCCUAGUUAUUUAUGGAGAUCUGGGGCCACAGCAGAGCUCCUCAUGGCAGGAUAAGGCAGUGGAAAGCAGACUCAACGGUUAACCCACAGUCCUCCUCAGCAAGCUGGGAGAAGCAACUGAUGCCACUUAGAUGCUUAGACCGGGCCUUCUGGGAGAGAUCUGGCCCAAGGAGCAGCCGGCAGCUUGACACAGUGACCAAUUGGAAGCACAGCAGCCACACGCCAUGAAACAAGACGGAGUUUCGCUCUUGGCUGGAGUGCAAUGUCGCAAUCUGGGCUCACCACAACCUCCACCUCCCGGGUUCAAGUGAUUCUCCUGCCUCAGCCUCCCAAGUAGCUGGGAUUACAGGCAUGCACCACCAUACCAGACUAAUUUUGUAAUUUUAGUAGAAACGGGGUUUUUCCAUGUUGGUCAGGCUGGUCCUGAACUCCCGACCUCGGGUGAUCCUCCCACCUCAGCCUCCCUAUAUUAUUAAUCUUAAGUCUAAAUGUUCUAUUAGAAAAGUUACAAUCACAUAUGCAGCUUGCAUUACAUUGCUAAUGGAACACGCUGCUCUAAACCAGGGAUUGGCAAACUAUGGGCAGUGGACAACUUCCAGCCCACUGUCUGUUUCUGUACAGCUGGUAAACAAGGAAUGGUUUUCACAUUUUUAAAUGGCAGAAAAAAAAUAAUUUGUGAUACGUGAACAUUAAUAAAAUUCAAAUUUCAGUGUCCAUGAAGAGUUAUAUUGGAAAAGAGAACCUACAACCAUUGCCUCUCCCGCUGCGUAAGUUCGGCAAAGGCUCACGCUUUUGUCUUUUGUUGGAUGAAUGACUACCAACACCUAGGACAGUGCCUGCACAAAUUAGGUGCCCUAUAAAUAUUUGUUGAGUCACUAAAUUUUAAAAUUCUAGAUUAUGGGGACUGUGUAGGAAGGACCUCAUUCUUUAGAGAACAUGAAUUACCCACUACUACAACUCGCUGUGUCCAUCCCUAAGCCAGAAGAGCGGAGGUUAAGACCCCAAGCAAGCCCACACGUAAUGACACAGGAAUGGAAAGCUGAUGCUCGGCCUGGUCUCCUGCUGAGCCUGGACACAGGCAUAGGCACUGCUGCAAUGGCAAGAGAAGCUCAAAAAGUUUUAAAACAAAAUACAUUAUU